AACUAAGUUUGUUCUGGGUAUAAGCUUUCGUGUGCAUGCACACUUCUUCAGAUCUGAAGAAGUAUCUGAAGAAGUGUGCAUGCACACAAAAGCUUAUACCCAGAACAAACUUAGGUGG